rnacentral:rRNA from 1 species
GAUGAACGCUGGCGGCGUGCCUAAUACAUGCAAGUCGAGCGAACAGAUGAGGAGCUUGCUCCUCUGACGUUAGCGGCGGACGGGUGAGUAACACGUGGAUAACCUACCUAUAAGACUGGGAUAACUUCGGGAAACCGGAGCUAAUACCGGAUAAUAUAUUGAACCGCAUGGUUCAAUAGUGAAAGACGGUUUUGCUGUCACUUAUAGAUGGAUCCGCGCCGGAUUAGCUAGUUGGUAAGGUAACGGCUUACCAAGGCGACGAUGCGUAGCCGACCUGAGAGGGUGAUCGGCCACACUGGAACUGAGACACGGUCCAGACUCCUACGGGAGGCAGCAGUAGGGAAUCUUCCGCAAUGGGCGAAAGCUUGACGGAGCAACGCCGCGUGAGUGAUGAAGGUCUUCGGAUCGUAAAACUCUGUUAUUAGGGAAGAACAAAUGUGUAAGUAACUAUGCACGUCUUGACGGUACCUAAUCAGAAAGCCACGGCUAACUACGUG